GACGAACGCUGGCGGCGUGCUUAACACAUGCAUGUCGAACGGAAAGGCCCUGCUUUUGUGGGGUGCUCGAGUGGCGAACGGGUGAGUAACACGUGAGUAACCUGCCCUUGACUUUGGGAUAACUUCAGGAAACUGGGGCUAAUACCGGAUAGGAGCUCCUGCUGCAUGGUGGGGGUUGGAAAGUUUCGGCGGUUGGGGAUGGACUCGCGGCUUAUCAGCUUGUUGGUGGGGUAGUGGCUUACCAAGGCUUUGACGGGUAGCCGGCCUGAGAGGGUGACCGGCCACAUUGGGACUGAGAUACGGCCCAGACUCCUACGGGAGGCAGCAGUGGGGAAUAUUGCACAAUGGGCGGAAGCCUGAUGCAGCAACGCCGCGUGCGGGAUGACGGCCUUCGGGUUGUAAACCGCUUUCGCCUGUGACGAAGCGUGAGUGACGGUAAUGGGUAAAGAAGCACCGGCUAACUACGUG
rnacentral:rRNA from 1 species